rnacentral:rRNA from 1 species
UGGGUAAUCUGCCCUCGAUUCUGGGAUAGCCCGGGGAAACCCGGAUUAAUACCGGAUAGCCUCUCGAGCUUUCGAGCUCGUGAGAAAAGGUAGCUUCGGCCUCCGAUCGAGGAUGAGCCCGCGGCGGAUUAGCUUGUUGGUGGGGUAAUGGCCUACCAAGGCGACGAUCCGUAGCUGGUCUGAGAGGACGAUCAGCCACACUGGGACUGAGACACGGCCCAGACUCCUACGGGAGCAG